AUUGAACGCUGGCGGCAGGCCUAACACAUGCAAGUCGAGCGGAUGAAGGGAGCUUGCUCCUGGAUUCAGCGGCGGACGGGUGAGUAAUGCCUAGGAAUCUGCCUGGUAGUGGGGGAUAACGUCCGGAAACGGGCGCUAAUACCGCAUCCGUCCUGAGGGAGAAAGUGGGGGAUCUUCGGACCUCACCCUAUCAGAUGAGCCUAGGUCGGAUUAGCUAGUUGGUGGGGUAAAGGCCUACCAAGGCGACGAUCCGUAACUGGUCUGAGAGGAUGAUCAGUCACACUGGAACUGAGACACGGUCCAGACUCCUACGGGAGGCAGCAGUGGGGAAUAUUGGACAAUGGGCGAAAGCCUGAUCCAGCCAUGCCGCGUGUGUGAAGAAGGUCUUCGGAUUGUAAAGCACUUUAAGUUGGGAGGAAGGGCAGUAAGUUAAUACCUUGCUGUUUUGACGUUACCAACAGAAUAAGCACCGGCUAACUUCGUG
rnacentral:rRNA from 1 species